rnacentral:rRNA from 1 species
GCGAAUGGCUCAUUAAAUCAGUUAUCGUUUAUUUGAUAGUACCUUACUACUUGGAUAACCGUGGUAAUUCUAGAGCUAAUACAUGCUAAAAACCCCGACUUCGGAAGGGGUGUAUUUAUUAGAUAAAAAACCAAUGCCCUUCGGGGCUCCUUGGUGAUUCAUGAUAACUUAACGAAUCGCAUGGCCUUGCGCCGGCGAUGGUUCAUUCAAAUUUCUGCCCUAUCAACUUUCGAUGGUAGGAUAGUGGCCUACCAUGGUAUCAACGGGUAACGGGGAAUUAGGGUUCUAUUCCGGAGAGGGAGCCUGAGAAACGGCUACCACAUCCAAGGAAGGCAGCAGGCGCGCAAAUUACCCAAUCCCGACACGGGGAGGUAGUGACAAUAAAUACUGAUACAGGGCUCUUUUGGGUCUUGUAAUUGGAAUGAGUACAAUUUAAAUACCUUAACGAGGAACAAUUGGAGGGCAAGUCUGGUGCCAGCAGCCGCGGUAAUUCCAGCUCCAAUAGCGUAUAUUAAAGUUGUUGCAGUUAAAAAGCUCGUAGUUGAACCUUGGGCCUGGCUGGCCGGUCCGCCUCACCGCGUGUACUGGUCCGGCCGGGCCUUUCCUUCUGGGGAUCCUCAUGCCCUUCACUGGGUGUGCUGGGGAACCAGGACUUUUACUUUGAAAAAAUUAGAGUGUUCAAAGCAGGCCUUUGCUCGAAUACAUUAGCAUGGAAUAAUAGAAUAGGACGUGCGGUCCUAUUUUGUUGGUUUCUAGGACCGCCGUAAUGAUUAAUAGGGAUAGUCGGGGGCAUCAGUAUUCAAUUGUCAGAGGUGAAAUUCUUGGAUUUAUUGAAGACUAACUACUGCGAAAGCAUUUGCCAAGGAUGUUUUCAUUAAUCAGUGAACGAAAGUUAGGGGAUCGAAGACGAUCAGAUACCGUCGUAGUCUUAACCGUAAACUAUGCCGACUAGGGAUCGGGCGAUGUUAUUCUUUUGACUCGCUCGGCACCUUACGAG